GCCAAAAUAGCUCAGUUGAGAGAGCGAAAGGUCCCUGGUUUGAUCCCGGGUUUUGUCA
rnacentral:tRNA from 1 species